rfam:Gossypium arboreum cultivar AKA8401 contig_48272_1, whole genome shotgun sequence.
GGGUGCGAUCAUACCAGCACUAAUGCACCGGAUCCCAUCAGAACUCCAUAGUUAAGCGUGUGUGGGCGAGAGUUGAACUAGGAUGGGUGACCUCCUGGGAAGUCCUCAUGUUGCACCCC